ensembl:lncRNA novel transcript, antisense to GAPDH
GGUUGAGCACAGGGUACUUUAUUGAUGGUACAUGACAAGGUGCGGCUCCCUAGGCCCCUCCCCUCUUCAAGGGGUCUACAUGGCAACUGUGAGGAGGGGAGAUUCAGUGUGGUGGGGGACUGAGUGUGGCAGGGACUCCCCAGCAGUGAGGGUCUCUCUCUUCCUCUUGUGCUCUUGCUGGGGCUGGUGGUCCAGGGGUCUUACUCCUUGGAGGCCAUGUGGGCCAUGAGCUUGACAAAGUGGUCGUUGAGGGCAAUGCCAGCCCCAGCGUCAAAGGUGGAGGAGUGGGUGUCGCUGUUGAAGUCAGAGGAGACCACCUGGUGCUCAGUGUAGCCCAGGAUGCCCUUGAGGGGGCCCUCCGACGCCUGCUUCACCACCUUCUUGAUGUCAUCAUAUUUGGCAGGUUUUUCUAGACGGCAGGU